CUGCAGAAUAAGAGCACGCAGAACAUCAACAACAAACUGCAAUUGGUGAUGAAGAGCGGCAAGUACACGCUCGGCUACAAGACCGUCCUCAAGACGCUCCGGAGCUCCAAGGGUACGUGUGGGAUCGCCCCUCUGUUUUUCAUGCCCUUUCUCUAG
rnacentral:rRNA from 1 species